rnacentral:lncRNA from 1 species
UAGUGACCCUAUAGGCAUUCUGACUGGGAAGAGUCCUAGCUCGCACGUACGUCACCAAGGCAUUGUUCGUCAUAUCAUGGUGUUUCAUGCAUGGCCAAUAAAAUAACAAGUGACAGGCCAAUGAAUACUUUGAAUUUACUCGCAAGCAACCCAUGUUUGGAAUCAAGGUAAUAAUUAUGCAUGAUGUGGCACUAAGUAUGUAAGUUGAAGAAAGCUAAUUUUGAGUGCAAUGUCAUGUCCAAAUCAUCUUGUAAAGCAUGCAUGAACAGGUUGCGAACAUCCAUACGAACAAGUUACAGAUAUCAUCAUAAGCAUGGAUUGAACAUCUCAUGUUAGUUCAUCAUGUC